UACAGAGGGGGCAAGCGUUGUUCGGAAUUACUGGGCGUAAAGGGCGCGUAGGCGGCCUGCUAAGUCGAACGUGAAAUCCCCGAGCUCAACUCGGGAACUGCGUCCGAUACUGGAAGGCUUGAAUCCGGGAGAGGGAUGUGGAAUUCCAGGUGUAGCGGUGAAAUGCGUAGAUAUCUGGAGGAACACCGGUGGCGAAGGCGACAUCCUGGACCGGUAUUGACGCUGAGGCGCGAAAGCCAGGGGAGCAAACGGG
rnacentral:rRNA from 1 species